rnacentral:misc_RNA from 1 species
AACUGCCGCACGCCCACGCAGACGCACGUGUACGACAACACCGGGGAGGCGCACUCAUACGGAGCAGGCGUGGUAUAAGCAACAGCGAGAAAAAGCAGUAGCAGCAGCGGCAGGUCCAUCGCACAUCAGGGAACGCUCACCCAUACGCCACGUCUUCCCCUCCAUCUGUCCGGUCGCAUCGAGGAUGAUACUCCUCGCCUUUAUCUGUGGAGCGCUGUGGGCGAUAUGGUCGGUUGCUUCCUUCUUAAUGUACCGCCCUCGCCAGAUUAGCGGGGCAACGGUGGUUGUCACGGGUGCCUGCAGUGAGAUGGGGCGGCGUCUCUGCAUGCAGCUCUAUGCCCGCGGCGCGCGUGUUAUUGCGUGGGACUACAGCAAAAUAAAACUGCAAGAGUUGCAGGCGGAUGUCCUCAAGGCCACAAAGGAAGCUGAAAGCCUCGAUAUCGCGGGCUUGCCGGGCGGUGGCCGCGCUGCUGGCUCGUUUCACAGUGGUGCCUUUGUUGUCAUGACCGUGGAUGUAUCCUCGCGGCUGCAGGUGCAACGUGCGGCCAAGGAGCUGGAUGGCCCACUCGACAUGAUCGUGUACGCUGCUCACACGUACCCGUCCAAGCGGCUCUGCGACCGCGCCGACGACUCCGCGGAGCGCCUCGUUCAGACGAACCUGCUGUCCCCGCUCAUGGUGGUGCGUCAGCUGUUACCUCUGUUGUUGUCCGCAUCGAACUCGUCUUCGAAUGCAGGUGGGCUACCCAAAGCGGCGCAGCGGCGUGGUGACUACGCCCAAGUGGUCACCCUUGUCUCCGCUGCCGCCAACUACACCCUUUCCGCAGACAACCCCGAGUAUGCGGCGUCGCAGUGGGGCAUGGUGGGCAUGCACUACUCGAUGCGGGAGUGGAUCGCCCAGCAGCGGUGCGAGUACAUGAAUAGUAGUGGCAGUGGUGCGCCGUCAGAGACAAAGACGACGGCAGCGGCACGGUCUCGCACACGCCGCCCGGCACGAGAGGUGCGGACGACGCUCCUUUGUUUGAACGAGAUUCAGUACGGUGUGCCAACGGUGAUGAGCUCUCUCUUGUCGAGCUCGCCCGGCAUGCCCACUACGGUGCGGGCAGUGUCGCCCACGACGCCAUCCUCAUCGGCGGCGAGCCCCGAGAGUGAGGGAGGUGGCAGCAUGGGUUCGCGGGGGUGGUCGACGUCGACUUACCGCGACUCCUACACCCAACACCUGCAGAAGCGCAACGCGGAGCUCGACAAGGCGGCGGCGUGCUGUGUAAAUGCCAUAUGUCGAGGACAGGAGCGCUACUGCUACACUUCGGCGUGGGCGACAACCGUCGUCUACCCGUUACUGAUGGCGUGCCCUGUGCCCUGGGCAAUUCGGCUGCUUCGCUGGAUACAGCACACGCCAGCGGCGGCGGCGGCAGAGAACUAGAAGCUGUAGUCCUUCUCCUCUUCGUUGUCUGCGUGCUCGUCACACAGGCGCUUUUAUCUUUCUCCUCUCUUGGGCUAUCCUUCUCUGCUCUGUCCGCCGCGCGUGCACGCCUGCCUCCCUUGCUCUUAUUCCCUCCCCGUUUCUUUCAUG